rnacentral:tRNA from 1 species
GCCGGCGUUGCCGUCGGCGCCUUGGGUGAAGCCGGUGCCGCCGGCGCCGGCGUUGCCGCCGGUGCCGCCGGUGCCGCCUUGGCCGCCGGUGCC